AUGAAGUUCCAUGUGCUGCGCCUGGAUCUGCCCCACCUGCCGCAGGGCGGCCUGGCGACCGCCCCUCAUCCAGGAGCCGCCCAUGGCCUGCACCGUCACCUGCUUCUUGAGCGCCUGGAAGGCUCGCCAUUCCUUCUCCACCCUGGCGCGCUCCUCCGUGCCCUCCCGCUUCAGCUGCUCCAGCUCCUGGUGAUACCAGUCCAGGUCGUCCGCCCGCUGCUUCCUCAGCUCCUCCAGCAUGGCCAGAUAGCGCAGGUACGCUUGCUCUUUCCCCGGGGCCUCGGGCUCCGCGCCCUUGUCGGGCACCUGGGCUGCAUCCGGGCCCUUCUUCUUGCGCAGCGCCUCGGAGAUCUUGUGCUGCAGGUAAAUGUUGUAGCGCUGGUAGUGGCCGCGCUCCGCCACCAGCGACUGGUACUGUUGCAGGAGCUCAGCGCGCAGCUGCUGCUCCUGCAGCCUCUGCACCUCUUCGGUCCAUUCACCGUCCUCAUCGUCGAGGCUCUCCUCCUCAUCUUUCAGCUUUACCUGGCUUCUCCGCGGGCUUCUUAGCAGGCCCAGCUCCUCCAUUUCCUCGCUCUCCGCCCCCUGCCUCUCCUCCCCCUCGGCCUCCCGAGCUGACACAGCCUCUUCCCGGCCGGUGGUGGACAGAGGCAGAGAGACCUGAGACGGGGCUUCCUUCCUCCUGCGCUGGACCGCCGCUGCCGCCACCUUCUCUCUUUCCUUCUCCUCCUCCUCCUCCUCCUCCUCUUCCUCCUCCUCCUCCUCGUCCACCUCCCUGUCCCCCUCCUCCUCCGUCUCUGCCUCCGCCUGCUCCUCCGGUUCCGCGAGCCCGUCUUCAGGCCCCGGCUGGGCUGUCUCCUCAGGCCCGGCCUCAGCCGGCUCCGGGGGCUCGGGUUCCGGCUGGGGCUCGAGCUCGGCCGGCCACUCCGGCCCUCCGGGCUCCGCCUCGCCCCCAGCCUCCGUGGCCGCCGGCCCUUCCCGGGGCUCGGCGGGCUCAUCCUCGGCGGCGCCUCCUGCCGAAGCCUCUACGGUCCCCUGCUCCGGUUGCGACUCCGGCUCCGGCGGUUCGGCCGGGGACUGGAGGCCUGAGAUGGCCUUGACCCCGGACAGCUUCGAGGACAGGCUCGCCACAUCUCCGUCUUCCGCCUCGGGGUCCCCAGGGUGCUCGGAGAGGCCGUCCAUCCUUCCCCAGCUCCGCAGGCACUACCCGAUCCCGGACGCCGGCUGUUGGGUUUCCAGGGGCAACCAGGGGCGCGCGCGGUGGGCCCGGCGAUUGGCCAAGAGUAAGGCAGAUGCCCGGCCCCCCUCUCCCCGCCUCCGGAGACAGCGAGCCAAUGGGAGGCCGCGGACGGACGACGGGCGGCCUCGAUUGGAAGGGGGUGCAGGCUCGCGCCGCGCGGCCUUCCCGCCCAUUUCCCG
rnacentral:lncRNA from 1 species